CUCCUGAUCCAAAACAUGACUUUGAUCUCCGUCCUCAUCUGGACUGUCCUCUGCUGCUGCUUCACAGAGUCCAGAGGACAGGUCACAGUGACUCAGCCUGGAGCAGUGAGCUCUGCUCUGGGAGGCACCGUCACCAUCAGCUGUAGAACCAGUCGGGACGUUCAUUACAGCAGCCAAAACUGCUUUUUUGCCUGGUACCAACAGAGAGAUGGAGACAAACCUAAACUAUUCAUUUACGUUGCUUCUACUCGAGUAUCAGGGAUUCCAGCUCGUUUUACAGGCAGUGGAUCAAACUCUGACUUCACUCUGACCAUCAGUGGAGUCCAGGCUGAAGAUGCAGCAGUUUACUACUGUCAGAGUUUUCACUGGGUGAAUAACAAAGCUGUGUACACGUUCGGUGGAGGAACCAGACUGGAUAUUGGAAGUGAUGUCCGUCCCACCCUGACGGUGCUGCCCCCCUCCCACGAGGAGCUGAAGCAGGGGAAGGCCACGCUCAUGUGCCUUGCCAACAAGGGCUUCCCCUCAGGCUGGAGUCUGGCCUGGAAGGUGGACGGCAGCAGCAGCAGCUUGGAUCAGAGCAGGAGCCCCGGGGUGCUGGGGAAGGACGGCACCUACAGCUGGAGCAGCUCCCUGAGGCUCACUGCAGACCAGUGGACGAAGGCGGACUCUGUGACCUGUGAGGCCACCCAGGGCUCCCAGACUCCGGUCUCAGAGACACUGAGGACAGAGCAGUGUUCCCAGUCCUGACCUGACUCUCUGAGACUCUGCUACUGGUUUUACUCUGCUCCUGCUCUCAGUCUCCACUCUCACUGUGUCUUUCUGUCUCUUUCUCUCACUCAGUCUCUGAUUCUACGUUUCAUCAAUGAGGUUUUGUUGCUUGUUGUAAUCUUUCAUUUUUUCAGUACAAUAAAGUCCUGUUCAUCACA